CUAACCUGGUUGAUCCUGCCAGUAGCAUACGCUUGUCUCAAAGAUUAAGCCAUGCAUGUCUAAGUAUAAACAAAUCUAUACGUGAAACUGCGAAUGGCUCAUUAUAUCAGUUAUAGUUUAUUUGAUGGUUCUUGCUACUUGGAUAACCGUAGUAAUUCUAGAGCUAAUACAUGCGUCAAACCUCGACUUCUGGG
rnacentral:rRNA from 1 species